GGGCGUUAAGCGUGCGCAGGCGGUUCCGGAAAGAAAGAUGUGAAAUUCCCAGAAGCUUAACUUUGGAACUGCAUUUUUAACUACCGGGCUAGAGUGUGUCAGAGGGAGGUGGAAUUCCGCGUGUAGCAGUGAAAUGCGUAGAUAUGCGGAGGAACACCGAUGGCGAAGGCAGCCUCCUGGGAUAACACUGACGCUCAUGCACGAAAGCGUGGGGAGCAAACAGGAUUAGAUACCCUGGUAGUCCACGCCCUAAACGAUGUCAACUAGCUGUUGGGGCCUUCGGGCCUUAGUAGCGCAGCUAACGCGUGAAGUUGACCGCCUGGGGAGUACGGUCGCAAGAUUAAAACUCAAAGGAAUUGACGGGGACCCGCACAAGCGGUGGAUGAUGUGGAUUAAUUCGAUGCAACGCGAAAAACCUUUACCUACCCUUUGACAUGUCUGGAAUUUCCGAAGAGAUUUGGAAGUGCUCGCAAGAAAACCGGAAACACAGGUGCUGCAUGGCUGUCGUCAGCUCCGUGUCGUGAGAUGUUGGGUUAAGUCCCCGCAACGAGCGCAACCCCUUGUCAUUAGUUGCUACGAAAGGGCACUCUAAUGAGACUGCCCGGUGACAAACCGGAGGAAGGUGGGGAUGACGUCAAGUCCUCAUGGGCCCUUAUGGGUAGGGCUUCACACGUCAUACAAUGGUCGGGACAGAGGGUCGCCAACCCGCGAGGGGGAGCCAAUCCUCAGAAACCCGAUCGUAGUCCGGAUCGCAGUCUGCACUCGACUGCGUGAAGUCGAAUCGCUAGUAAUCGCGGAUCAGCAUGUCGCGGUGAUACGUUCUCCGGGUCUUGUACUCACCCGCCCGUC
rnacentral:rRNA from 1 species